GACGAACGCUGGCGGCGUGCCUAAUACAUGCAAGUCGAACGCAGUGGGGACGGGUGAGUAACACGUGGGUAACCUCCCAUCAGAGGGGAUAACACUUGGCAACAGGUGCUAAACCGAUACUGAUGGAUGGACCCGCGGUGCAUUAGCUAGUUGGUGAGUUAACGGCUCACCAAGGCCACGAUGCAUAGCCGAUCUGAGAGGAUGAUCGGCCAAAAUGGGACUGAGACACGGCCCAGACUCCUACGGGAGGCAGCAGUAGGGAAUAUUAGGCAAUGGACUAAAGUCGGAACCAGCAACGCCGCGUGGGUGAAGAAGGUUUUCGGAUUGUAAAACUCUGUUAGUAGAAAAGCGGUAUAUAAACAGAAAGCCCCGGCUAACUACGUGCCAGCCGCCGCGGUAAUUC
rnacentral:rRNA from 1 species